rnacentral:rRNA from 1 species
CCUACGGGUGGCAGCAGUAGGGAAUAUUGCGCAAUGGGCGAAAGCCUGACGCAGCAACGCCGCGUGAUCGAGACGCCCUUCGGGGUGUAAAGAUCUGUCAGUGGGGACGAAACAUGCCGGUACCCACAGAGGAAGCACCAGCUAACUCCGUGCAAGCAGCCACGGUAAUACGGGGGGUGCAAGCGUUGUCCGGAUUCAUUGGGCGUAAAGAGUGCGUAGGCGGCACGUAAAGUAAGAUGUUAAAGGCAGGGGCUCAACUCCUGUACGGCAUUUGAUACUGUCGGGCUAGAAUGCGGUAGCGGUAGAGGGAAUGCAUGGUGUAGCGGUGAAAUGCUUAGAUAUCAGGCGGAACAUCGAUGGCGAAGGCACUUUACUAGGCCACGAUUGACGCUGAGGAACGAAAGCCAGGGUAGCAAAUGGGAUUAGAUACCCCAGUAGUC